ACCAGGCACAGUAUACUGGGGGAAAACCUGUUAGAGCAUUCAGUUUUAUAAGCCAGGGAUAUCUACUAAGGCUGGCUUUGAAGGUAGAACAGGAGAGGUGGCAGGAAAGUGAACACAGGACGGCACCAUCACGCUGUCACCAAAUGACCUUCAAUACACCUUGCUGUUUUCAGUGUACAGUGCUGCACUCAGAAGGAAAAGACUGCUUUUGUCUUCUCUUUGUCAGCUGAAUGGGAGCAGACUGUCUCUGCAAACGUAACCCUGCUUGUGUGCUGCAUACUUCUGAAAAGUCUGACCAUCAUGUAAAGGCUGCAAGGAAAGGAGCUCGUAGAUGUCAUCUUAUCCAUCUGAUUCAUGGAUGAAAUAACAAAUAAAGGGAUAAUUUGCAGUGAGGGUUGAAUAUAAUUUCCUUUUAUUUCUACCAACUUUGUAAGAUAUCUCUUGGGUCAUCUCUGAACUUUCUGGAUUCCAUUAUAAUUGUCUUCACUGAAAUACAUUUGUUAUUCUCAGGCCUAGCCUAAUGAAUUAUCCAAAUCCUUCUGAAUGUGUUUGCUCUGCUCCUUAUUAUUCAUACUUUGUUCCCGUUUAUUAUCUUCUGCAGUGAAAAUCUAGCUUUCAAAUCCCUCUUCCAAAUCACUCAUAAGAAUAAGCUCUUCAUCUUCUCAGCAAAUAAAAUAUAGCUCAGAAUUAAUGGUCAAAAGCAUUUGCUAUAUGCUGUACCUAGUAUUUCUGUUAACUUUUUGGACUUAGACAUUUACCAAUGGUUUGCUUUUCUCAGCCUGCAAAAGUGUAGCUGUGCAGCAAACUCGAAGCUGCCAGACUGUGAGAUCAAAAGCUGACUGGAGGCUUAAAUUCUGUAUCAGAUUUUUGUAUUGUAAGUGUAUUUCUCAUGCAAGUCAAAGUUUAGACAUCAUGUAUCCAUUUCUGAAAAUACACCUGCCAGUCUGAAUUGUCUUCCACGUGUUAUUUUCUCAGUCUUAGAAAUACGGGAAUGAUUGGUAAUAAGAAAAUGUUUGA